CUUAAGAGACUUUACCUGAGGGCUGGUCUAGCAGGUCUACUGUUAGGAGCAAGAGGUGUGCAGGGGGUAGGGAGCAGUCCCAGCUUCUGUGAUCUUCUCCAUGGCAGGAUCUCCCAGUGGGUAGAGCAGAGCCAGAGCCAGGUGCAGGCCAUUGAGGAGAAGGUCUCCUUGGCCCAGGCCAAGAUUGAGAAGAUCAAGGGCAGCAAGAAGGCCAUCAAGGUGUUCUCCAGUGCCAAGUACCCUGUUCAGAGCACCUGAAGGAAUAUGGCUCCAUCUUCACAGGUGUCCAGGACCCUGGCCUGCAGAGACGACCCCACCACAGGAUCCAGAGCAAGCCUGGCAGGCCCUGCAGGUCUGCUGCCUCCCAGGAGAAGCUGAAGUACUUUCCUAUGUGCAUGAGUGCCAAGCUGGAGCCUGAGGAUGAUGCAGAGGAGAGGCUUGGGGUCUUCCAGCUCUGUCAGCUCCUUGUUGCUCUUCAACACCACCAAGAUCUUGUACAAGUAGUGUGUCUUCCUGGACUCCCUGGCUGGUGCUGUAACAAAGACCCAUGUGAUGCUGGGGGUGGAGACAGAGGAGAAGCUGUUUGAUGCCCCCUUCUCCAUCAGCAAGAGAGAGCAGCUGGAGCAGCAGGUUCCAGAGAACUACUACUAGGUGCCAGACCUGGGCCAAGUACCUGAGAUUGGUGUGCUAUCCUACUUGUCCGACCUGCCCGGCAUUGCCAACGACCCCAUGUACAGUGCUGACUUGGGCCCCAGCAUUGUCCCCUCUGCCCCUGUCACUAUUCCAGAACUGUCCACCUUCCACACUGAGGUAGCCGAGCCUCUCAAUCCAGAUGAGCUGGAAGAUGGGGUGUUAACAGCACCCCCAUCACCUCCCCCAGCUCCUGAGGUGCUGGCCAGUGCACCCCCCACUCCCUCAGCCGUGGCCCCUGUAGGCCCAGGCACCAGGCAGGACGGCGGCAGCAGCAGUGUGGCUCCUUCAGUUGAGGGAGUUCUCAGGGAAGUGGUUGACCCCUCUGAGGGCCAGGCCACUCUGCUAGAGUCCAUCCACCAAGGGGCGGGGGCAUCGGCAAGGCCAAGUUGCACAGCGUGAAGGAGCAAAAGCUGGAGAAGCAGCAGCAGAAGGAGCAGGAGCAAGUGAGAGCCACGAACCAAGGUGGGGACCUGAUGUCGGAUCUCUUCAACAAGCUGAUAAUGAGGUGCAAGGGCAUCUCUGGGAAAGGACCUGGGGCUGGUGAGGGACCUGGAGGAGCCUUUGCCCACGUGUCAGACUCCGUCCCUCCUCUGCCGCCACCACAUGAGCCACAGGCAGAGGAGGAUGAGGACGACUGGGAAUCCUAGACUUGGGCCACUGCUCCGACAUGGACACAG